rnacentral:SRP_RNA from 1 species
UUCCGGUUCCCUCGCGACGAUAAGCUGUGAACUCCGCCAGAUCCGGAAGGAAGCAACGGUAGCGGUGAUCUCGGGCGCCGGGGUGUGGCUGGGGCGG